rnacentral:misc_RNA from 1 species
AGGAGGAGGAGGAGGAGGAGAAGCUAGCGGCGGCGGCGGCAAUGGCGACGAGCGGGCUGAGGAGCUGCAGCGCGGUGGGCGUGCCGAGCCUGCUGGCGCCGUCGUCGAACAGGAGCCGCCUGCCGGUCUGCGCCUACGCCACCACCUCCGGGCGCGUCACCAUGUCCGCCGAGUGGAUGCCGGGCCAGCCACGCCCCGCCCACCUCGACGGCUCCUCUCCCGGUGACUUCGGGUUCGACCCGCUGGGCCUCGCCACCGUGCCGGAGAACUUCGAGCGGUUCAAGGAGUCGGAGGUGUACCACUGCCGGUGGGCCAUGCUCGCUGUGCCUGGGGUGUUGGUGCCGGAGGCGCUGGGGCUGGGCAACUGGGUGCAGGCGCAGGAGUGGGCGGCGGAGCCCGGCGGCCAGGCCACGUACCUCGGCAACCCGGUGCCAUGGGGCACGCUGCCGACGAUCCUGGUCAUCGAGUUCGUCGCCAUCGCCUUCGCCGAGCACCAGCGCACCAUGGAGAAGGACCCCGAGAAGAAGAAGUACCCCGGCGGCGCCUUCGACCCCCUCGGCUUCUCCAAGGACCCCGUCAAGUUCGAGGAGUACAAGCUCAAGGAGAUCAAGAACGGGCGAUUGGCCAUGCUGGCUUUUGUGGGUUUCUGCGUCCAACAGUCGGCGUACCCGGGCACCGGCCCACUGGAGAACCUGGCCAGCCACCUCUCGGACCCGUGGCACAACAACAUCGGCGACAUCAUCAUCCCGAGAACCAUCUACCCUUGAGCUUGGCACGAACCGGUGCGUGCGUCCGGGCGUACGUGAAGGCUAUGGGUGGUUUUUAUGUGCGUGCGUACUGUGUGUGAUUGGUUGAUUAUUGCGCGCGCGUGCGCACGCAGUGGUCGGCCGGCAGGCAGCUGCUGGUUGGCCUUGUAAUGUAAAGCUUAAGUAGAGGGUGCUCUCUUGUGAAUCCGUCCAUCUUAAUUUUUGUAUCAAA